AACAACCAUAAAACAAUAUAUUUCAAUUGCAGCUUUGAAAACAUAUGUUACUGGAUAUGUCUUUGUGAAACAGGUCAGAAGUACAGAGAGAGAAGUCAGUCACUUAGAUUGUUGUUUUAAAUUUACAAAGUUGGUUAAGAAAAUGGUGUGCUGAAGCCCAGAGCUGGAACAAACAUGUGAAAUUAAGACAAGAGAACUGUACAUGAUACAGGCUCUCUCAGGCUUCUAGACCCUGCAUUGUUUCAGGGCCAUACUGCAAACUCCUUCUCUGUGCACAAACUGCAACAUUCACCCUUGCAGUCACCUUUUUACUCAGAAAGGGCCUUCCUGGCUGUCUCCCUUGGUACAUCUGUAACUGGCUGGGUGUGGAAGCACAGGCAUCACCGUGCUUGUGUAAAUGGAACAUAUCACAUGGCCCUCAUAGUCCUCUUUGGGUCACAUUAUUUAGCAAUUACGGGGUUUAAAAUUCAGAAUUUCCGAAGUAACAGAAGGGUGGUUUCAGCCCACUGCAGCAUGGAAUGGCAGGUGCAUGAUGGAAGGGCAUGGUGCAAGGAACUGUGGGUGCUUGAGGAGCUCAGUUAGUCAGAACCACACUCAGAGGCAAAGAAAACCUCCCUGUGCAGUGCAUCACACCCACUACCUGCUAAUCUAUCUGUGAGCAGCUCCUCUGCUAAUCCAUGCCAAAACAUGACAUAUUGUCUGCUUUCUUACUGCUGAAGACUCCAGUCCUUCCAAGAUGCAGAGUAUCAGCUUCCUAGUCCUUUCAGAGGUCUCGGGAAAGACAUAUUGCUACAUCUUCUCCCAGAAACUCAAAAAUUACCCCUAGGAAGACUUUACUUCAGCAAAACAAUACUUUUUUCUCAACUCUUGUAAUUUUAAGGGAUUUCUUCUUGGCUGCAUUACCUGCCUCAGGAAAGAACAAAUUCCAGGUAAAUACUUCCUAAGCCAAGUUAUACCAUGGCUUAAUACGCAUUUUAUUUAAUUCUUUUAAAUUUAUUAUCUCUAAGAAUAACUAACCAUUUUCUGGCAGUAGGUAUUCCUUCAUUCCUUGAAGCGCAUAUGAAAUUGAAUUUUUUCAUAUUCAGGAGAAGCAGCUGAAUUCAAACCCUUGCUUUCCCUUGAAUAACUUUUAUAGACUCCAUUCCUCGCUUCUUCUGAAGCAUUUCAUUUCAGUUCAUAUUUCUCAGCUAAUUAAACCCACUGAUUCAAGUUUGCACCUUCUGAAUUUCCUGAGAAGCUAGCCCUCUGCACAGAUGCUCCUGCAGUCUCUGCUGCUGCUGGCAAGGUCUCAUGCAACUUUCUCAAGGAGCUGAAAGAACUUGCACCACUGACUUAAAUGCUUUUCUGCACUUAAAAUAAUCUCAAAAAUUCUGCUUGACUCCAGGACUGGGGCACCUAUUCAUGAUGCGGAGCCUCAAAUAUUAUGAAACUGCUUCACAAAGAAGGUUAUAACACUAAUCUUCCGUAUGGUGGUCCCUAUUCCAGCUCAUCCUACACAGCAGCCAGCAGUUCAUGUAGCUAUGUUGAUCUCUGAAUAUUAAUUUCCUGGAUCCAUAGCUGCUGUGCAUUUUGAAGCAGCUCCCUCUUUUUAAAAUUUCUGUUAUUCUCUGAAUAUCUACUGGGUUUUUUUAAUAUCCAUUUAUAUUUACUAAUUUUUGAACACUUUGGAAUGCAAAAGCAUUUUUUCACCAAGAACUGGUGACCAAGUGCAUUAUGUUGAUCCUAGAAAUUCAGUAUUUGGGAGAGAUAAAUAAAUCUAUUCUUUCAGGAAAAUUCAAAUAUCCUACCUUGAUCCUGGAGUGACACCCAUGUAUUUUUGUUUCAGUUGCAAUCUAAGUUAAACUGUAACUGAAAUCAUUCUUUUUUGGAACAGUAACAGACUAAUUACUGUUUGAGUACAUCCCAAAUCACCAAGUGUUUCCAGGGCUCAAGGGAAAAGGAUCUCUCACGACAGCCCUGACUUGCCUUCUACAUGGAGAAGAAAGGGCUGGCACCAGGCAGGGGGUACAGGGACUGCUCUGGAUUUCACCCCCAGGAUUAUCACGCACCUCUCCAGUAGGAGCCUGACCAUAUAAGCCAGGCACUGAAAUCUACAUUUCAUCCUUCGUGAACUGGGAGCAACAAUUUGAAUUAUAGGUAUACUGCAUUCCCCAAAAUAGUGUGCAUAUUUCCUCUCUUUUGCUUUCUCUAAGAUAAAAUUUGUUGGAAAAAGAGUUUUUGGUAUAGCCAUCAUGUCAAUCUGAUUAACUGUCUAGCUGGAACACAUGGCCUUGGCAGUAACACUAUUUCUAGAUCCAAAGUCUGCGCUUUAAGGAUUCAUCAUCAAUGCUGCAUGUCUGAUUUAUCAAAUACAAAUUCCCUGCAGCACAGCAACUUCUUCAGGCAUGUUGCUGGGAGUUAAGAAGAUGUGGGUGCCAAGGCCUAAAGUGAGGAAGAGAUGUCUGAGGUGAGAUCAAACUCGAAAAGUUGCCAGCUUUUAUGCUGAGUUGGAAAUAUCUCUCCUUGACCUAAAUAAACUGAUGUGCUGGGGGAAUAAUUCUGGUAUCCAAGAAAACAAAUUGUGAGAGAGUUUUGUACACACGUUCUUUUUGGAAUAGGCACUGCUAGAAAGGAAAAAAGAAAAUUAGUCUGAGAACCUCAAAAAUAAGGGGCAAUAACAGAAACAGAGAAGUUGGGAAC